UCACUCGAGAUACAUACAAUCAGGGAUCGAUGUGAUUAUCAAUUUCGCGGGAAACAAGUAUCAUAUGGAAACAAGAGUCUAGUACAUCUGAUAAGGCCAGAAUCAUUUAUCUCAGACAUCUAUAUGAUUUGUUGUCACCUCAUCAACGCCAGACGAAAACUUUUGGGCAUCGAUACGUAAUCAAUAAAGUUCUCCUAUCCGUCUAGUUCCUCCAACCAGGAAACGAACCUAUAAUGCUGAAGAGGCGGUUAAACUCCGUCGUAACUCUACUAGAUCGUUAAGCGCGCAAAGGAGGACCGCCUUGUCGCUUAAGGAGCUACGAAACGAGAAACCCUCUUACAACGCAUUAACGUCUCAGCAUAAUUGUUUGAGCCUAGGUUUAGAUAAAACAGCGUAUAACCGACUUUCCACGGAGGUAGGUGCCGCUGUCUGGUCGGUCAGAUCAUUUCCUAUCAUCGUUACAACUUGAUCCAACUGCAUGCACUAUCUGUCGGUGAAUAAACAGAGCUGUGUUUUGUAUAAAACGAAUACGCACAAGGGAUACAUCUCUUUGAGUUUUUCUGCUUUAAACGACAUAGUAGAGCGCCACACAUUACACCUCCUAACGCGCCUUUGUCGUACUCGUCGACAAAGCAAGCUGCUGCGAGGCAGCCGCGCGAGUCGCAACGCGACGCGAGCGCAAAACGACACGGCGCGGUUGGCAUUUCCGAAAACGCGCAGUCGCGUGCCGAUCCUGUUGGGUGGGAGGUGCGAUCAGCUGCGAGGUACACGAGGAGAGAACGAGAUGUUCGUCCUGCAGAGGUCUAUAAUAUCGGCCAGUGGCAGAAAUUGUGGAGGAUCAUGGACGCGGACGCUUCUACCUUUGUAUGCUACCACAAAGGAUGUCCAACAGAGGAAUAUUCACGAAGUCUCGGGAGAUGUAAUACCAAUAAAUAUGGUAAAGGGAAUCGGACAUCUCAGAGAUCCUCGACUUAACAAGGGCUUGGCAUUCACCUUGAAAGAAAGGAUAGCUUUAGGGAUACAUGGCUUGCAGCCUCCCAGAUUCAAGACUCAAGAAGAACAGCUGGCUCUGUGCAAAGCUUCAGUAAUGAAAUAUUCGGAGGAUUUGAACCGAUAUCUGUAUCUCGUGGAACUUCAAGAAAGGAACGAAAGAUUAUUUUUCCGCUUGUUAAGCGAGAAUAUCGAACAGAUGAUGCCAAUUGUCUAUACACCUACUGUCGGUUUGGCCUGCCAAAAGUUCGGCGUAAUUUAUCGCAGACCUCGCGGACUCUUCAUCACUAUAUACGAUAAGGGUCAUAUUUAUGAAAUUCUGAAUAAUUGGCCAGAACAAGCGGUGCGAGCGAUAUGUGUAACAGAUGGCGAGCGAAUUUUAGGUCUCGGUGACCUUGGAGCUUGCGGCAUGGGUAUUCCUGUUGGAAAACUAGCGCUUUACACAGCUCUAGCUGGCAUUAAACCUCACCAAUGUCUACCUAUCACUAUCGAUGUAGGCACCAAUAAUGAACAACUGAGAAACGAUCCUCAUUACAUUGGUCUCAACAAACCUAGAAGUCAAGGUGCCGAGUAUGACGAAUUAAUCGACGAAUUUAUGGCUGCCUGCGUGCAAAAGUACGGACAAAACGUUCUUAUUCAAUUUGAAGACUUUGGAAACCACAAUGCCUUCCGAUUCUUAGACAAAUAUAGAAAUAAGUAUUGUACGUUCAACGAUGACAUACAAGGUACGGCUGCGGUUGCGGUGGCUGGAAUCUUGGCAUCAAAAAGAAUAACUAAGAAAAGGAUGUCGGAUAAUAAGUUUGUCUUCCUGGGCGCUGGAGAGGCAGCAAUUGGUAUAGCUGAUCUCUGCGUCAAAGCAAUGGAGGCUGACGGAUGCACCGAGCAGCAAGCGCGUGAUAACAUCUGGAUGAUGGACAUUGACGGAUUACUUGUGAACAAUCGGCCCGAAGGUAAUCUGGAGGGCCACAAGAUCUGGUAUGCGAAAGAUCACAAAGUGAUGAAGACGUUGAUCGAAGUUGUGAAGGAAAUUAAACCUACUGUAUUGAUAGGUGCUUCGGCAGCGGCAGGAGCAUUCACUCCUGAGGUGCUAAAAGAAAUGGCAAAAAAUAAUGAGCGGCCGUUGAUCUUCGCUCUGAGUAAUCCAACCAGUAAAGCUGAAUGUACGGCGCAGCAGGCGUACGAUCAUACCGACGGUAGAUGUAUAUUUUCCUCUGGUUCGCCAUUCGGCGAAGUCAAAUAUGACGGAAAGACGUACAAGCCUGGACAAGGUAAUAACGCAUACAUCUUCCCCGGUAUCGCUUUGGGCGUUAUCGCGACCGGAGUUCAUCACAUUACCGAAGAUUUGUUCUUGAUCUCGGCACAAACUGUCGCCGAUCAUGUGAAAGAUGAGGAUCUCAAAAGGGGCAGUUUAUAUCCACCAUUAAAUAGUAUUCGCGAGUGCUCUAUUGAUAUCGCGGUUAAAAUAGCCGACUACGCUUACGCUAAAGGUGGUUUGGCGAGCGAGUACCCAGAGCCAAAAGACAAGAAACAAUUUAUUAUGAGUAAGAUGUACGAUGCCAACUACGACAGUCCACUGCCAAAUCUGUAUGAGUGGCCGGGUGAUUAUGCCAAACCUCGCAUUUUACCGGAAAAAGACAAAAUAGAAAUCCGCCACGAUUUAAAACAUCUGUAGCGGAUUUCAACAGCUGGGAAUCGGAGGCUAUCAUUAUUAUCUUUAACGAUAAAAAUGUCGAUGUUUCUUCAACUCGUAAUCAAUAUCACUCACGGCAUAUACAAACAGCAAAACAACUUGUAAACAGUUUUAAUCAUUAGAACGCGUUGGCGAGUCUAAACACGAGACGACUAUUUUGACAUAUACAUAAAGUUCUUAAUUUAAUUUUCGCAGUCAGAGAAUAAAUGUUAAUAUUAUUGCUUGUGAGUGAUCAAAUAUUGUAUACUCUUUAAUAUUAAGAAAUCGCAGUUUAUCAAUAGCAAUCAAUCGAUGUUUCUUAUGUUUAAGUAUGCUCAUGUACUUAUAUUUAUUUAAUGUGAUGAUACACAGAGCAAUGUUCCACACACUGUAAAAUCGUACUUGAAUAGUAAGGAAUGUGCAAAUAUUCACUAACUUUGACAUGAAUUGUCAGAUAUUCCAAUACUACAGAUUAUUUAUUUUUUUAAGAAGUUCACUUAUAAAAUAAUUACAAGGCUAUCUCUAAUUGUGUAACAUGAUACGUGUAUCGUGCACAGUAUAUCAUACAAGUAAAUAUUUAUUUAUUUUGCAUUUUAGAACCAUAGAUGAUAAAUAGUUGUUCUUCGUUUUAAUUACUUGACAUGCAGUCUAUUAUAAGAAAUGAGUUACCGGUUUCUUGAAUCAGGAUGUCUACUACUUAAACAAAUUUGGAACAUUCAGAAGUUUGAAAAAUUAAGAAAUUUAAUCAAAAGUACCUGGAAUAUCCAGGAAUUUUGUAUGAAAAUUUAUGUAGAUAGCAAGUAGAUAAAAGUUCAUGAAAAAGAUCACAUGAUGAAAUAAUUUCAAUUCUAAGUAUUACACUAUGAUGCGACAGUAUAUUCAAUAAAUUGAAAAAAAAAAAAUUCUUAUAAUCUUAUUAUCAAAAUAUAACACCAAUAUCUUUUAUAUUCCGUCAUAAUGCGCGUUCUUGUAUUUUAUAACAAGAAGCGCUACAGAUCCAUCAAAUAAACUUUCUGUCAAAAAGUACCUUACAAAUACUAGCUGUUAUAUAAAAUAGAACUAUUUAACAAUAACAUCGACUAAAUUUUAACAAUUACUGCCACACAAAAUAGAGAACUUUUUAAAUCUAUACCAUUUUCGUACAGAAAACUGUACCAUGCUGUCAUGAAUAAAUAUCUUGACAGUAUUGCAGAAAAGGUUUAUCAAAUCGUAGAUGAAUUACACACUGAUAAAUGUUUAUGAAUUGCUACCAAGUAUAUAAAUUAUAAUGUUACAAUAUUAUGAAUAAAUGUUAAAUUCUGGUCGUUA